CCGAGCAGCCGGGGUGGUAGCGGUACCUUGAACCAACAAUCCGCUAUAGUUGGGGUGAUGUCGAACAGAGGGUCUUCAAUUUUGGAGCUGCCCUUCAUAAGUGGCGCUGACGUUUGGGUCUUGCGCAACAGGAAUUUACGAACCAGGUCAGGUCAGGAAUGAAGCAGCCUUAAGUAAAACCUCCUGUGUGCCGCGAGGGUGCCUGGGCCGAGUUAACUGUGGAGGUAACGUCUGGGAUUUCGAUUCGAAGUAAGACGCUCGG
rfam:Roseburia sp. 831b contig000006, whole genome shotgun sequence.